GCCUCAUUAGCUCAGUGGUUAAAGCACUGGUCUUGUAAACCAGGGAUCCAGAGUUCAACUCUUUGAUGAGGCU
rnacentral:tRNA from 1 species